rnacentral:rRNA from 1 species
UACGGAAGGCAGCAGUGGGGAAUAUUGCACAAUGGGCGAAAGCCUGAUGCAGCUAUGCCGCGUGUAUGAAGAAGGCCUUAGGGUUGUAAAGUACUUUCAUCGGGGAGGAAAAAACAAAACUAAUAAUUUUAUUUCUUGACGUUACCCGAAAAAGAAGCACCGGCUAACUCCGUGCCAGCAGCCGCGGUAAUACGGAGGGUGCUAGCGUUAAUCAGAAUUACUGGGCGUAAAGAGCACGUAGGUGGUUUUUUUAAGUCAGAUGUGAAAUCCCUGGGCUUAACCUAGGAACCGCAUUUUGAAACUGAAAUACUAGAGUAUCGUAGAGGGAGGUAGAAUUCUAGGUGUAGCGGUGAAAUGCGUAGAUAUCUGGAGGAAUACCUGUGGCGAAAGCGGCCUCCUAAACGAAUACUGACACUGAGGUGCGAAAGCGUGGGGAGCAAACAGGGAUUAGAUACC